ACGUAAGGGGCGAGUGUUAUUAGGAAUAACUGGGUGUAAAGGGUAUGUAGGCGGCGCUUCAAGUGGCGUGUCAAAGUACAGUGCUCAACGCUGGGUGUGCGCGCGAUACUGACGGGCUUGAGGGCUGGAGAGGUGAGCGGAAUUCCCGGUGUAGUGGUAAAAUACGUAUAGAUCGGGAGGAACACCAGCGGCGCAGGCGGCUCACUAGACAGUUUCUGACGCUAAGAUACGAAAGCGUGGGGAGCAAACAG
rnacentral:rRNA from 1 species